rnacentral:rRNA from 1 species
CCUACGGGUGGCAGCAGUGAGGAAUAUUGGUCAAUGGACGCAAGUCUGAACCAGCCAUGCCGCGUGCAGGAAGACGGCUCUAUGAGUUGUAAACUGCUUUUGUACGAGGGUAAAUCCCGAUACGUGUAUCGGGUUGAAAGUAUCGUACGAAUAAGGAUCGGUUAACUCCGUGCCAGCAGCCGCGGUAAUACGGAGGAUUCAAGCGUUAUCCGGAUUUAUUGGGUUUAAAGGGUGCGUAGGCGGUUCGAUAAGUUAGGGGUGAAAGCCCGGGGCUCACCUCCGACACUGCCUCUGAUACUGGCGGGCUAGAGUUUAGGUGCGGUAGGCGGAAUGUAUGGUGUAGCGGUGAAAUGCAUAGAGAUCAUGCAGAACACCGAUUGCGAAGGCAGCUUACC